rnacentral:rRNA from 1 species
AUUGAACGCUGGCGGCAGGCCUAACACAUGCAAGUCGAACGAGUGGCGGACGGGUGAGUAAUGUCUGGGAAACUGCCUGAUGGAGGGGGAUAACUACUGGAAACGGUAGCUAAUACCGCAUACCAUCGGAUGUGCCGAGAUGGGAUUAGCUAGUAGGUGGGGUAAAGGCUCACCUAGGCGACGAGCCCUAGCUGGGCUGAGAGGAGGACCAGCCACACUGGAACUGUGACACGGUCCAGACUCCUACGGUAGGCAGAAGUGGUGAAGAUUGCACAAUGGGCGCAAGCCUGAUGCAGCCAUUCCGCGUGUAUGAAGAGGGCCUUCGGGUUUUAAAGUACUUGCAGCGGGGAGGCGUUACCCGCAGAAGAAGCACCGGCUAACUCCGUGCCAGCAGCCGCGGUAAUUC